rnacentral:tRNA from 1 species
GGGGUUUUAGUUCAGUCGGUAGAACGUUAGCUUUGCAAGCUAAAUGUCGGAAGUUCAAGUCUUCUAAAUUCCA